CCUACGGGUGGCUACAGUGGGGAAUAUUGGGCAAUGGGCGCAAGCCUGACCCAGCAACGCCGCGUGAGGGAAGAAGGCUUUCGGGUUGUAAACCUCUGUCCUUGGUGACGAAAAAAAUGACGGUAGCCAAGGAGGAAGCCCCGGCUAACUACGUGCCCGCAGCCGCGGUAAUACGUAGGGGGCGAGCGUUGUACGGAAUUACUGGGCGUAAAGGGUGCGUAGGUGUCCUUGUAAGUUGGAUGUGAAAUCCCCGAGCGUAACUUGGGUGGUGCAUCUAAUACUGGAGGGCUAGAGUGCAGGAGAGGAAAGCGGAAUUCCUAGUGUAGCGGUGAAAUGCGUAGAUAUUAGGAGGAACACCAGUGGCGAAGGCGGCUUUCUGGACUGUAACUGACACUGAGGCACGAAAGCGUGGGGAGCAAACA
rnacentral:rRNA from 1 species